rnacentral:rRNA from 1 species
AACGCUAGCUACAGGCUUAACACAUGCAAGUCGAGGGGCAGCAUGGACUCAGCUUCGCUGAGUUUGAUGGCGACCGGCGCACGGGUGAGUAACGCGUAUCCAACCUGCCCUUUACUCCGGGAUAGUCUCCUGAAAGGGAGUUUAAUACCGGAUGUGUUUGUCUUUCCGCAUGGGAGCGACAAAUAAAGAUUGAUUGGUAAAGGAUGGGGAUGCGUCCCAUUAGCUGGUUGGCGGGGUAACGGCCCACCAAGGCGACGAUGGGUAGGGGUUCUGAGAGGAAGGUCCCCCACAUUGGAACUGAGACACGGUCCAAACUCCUACGGGAGGCAGCAGUGAGGAAUAUUGGUCAAUGGGCGGGAGCCUGAACCAGCCAAGUAGCGUGAAGGAUGACGGCCCUACGGGUUGUAAACUUCUUUUAUAAGGGAAUAAAGUUCGCCACGUGUGGUGUUUUGUAUGUACCUUAUGAAUAAGCAUCGGCUAAUUCCGUGCCAGCAGCCGCGGUAAUACGGAAGAUGCGAGCGUUAUCCGGAUUUAUUGGGUUUAAAGGGAGCGUAGGCGGGCUUUUAAGUCAGCGGUCAAAUGUCACGGCUCAACCGUGGCCAGCCGUUGAAACUGUAAGCCUUGAGUCUGCACAGGGCACAUGGAAUUCGUGGUGUAGCGGUGAAAUGCUUAGAUAUCACGAAGAACUCCGAUUG